rnacentral:misc_RNA from 1 species
UUUCCGUAGGUGAACCUGCGGAAGGAUCAUUAUUGUAUAACCGAGGUGCGAGCGCUGUCGCUGACCCGAAAGGCCGUUUACGCCUGAGUGCUUUCACACACCCCCAUUCCACCCCCAUGUGCACCACCGCGUGGGUCCCCCUUUGCCUUGUUCGGCGGUGGGCCUACGUUUUCACACAAUCUUUGUAUGCUGCGUAGUAUGUAUUCUUUGUUUUUGCGAUCACGCAACUUUCAACACUUUCAACAUCGGAUCUUUUGGCUUUCGCAUAGACGAAGAACC